GCGCGAUAAUUUGCCUCCUAAUUAGAGGCUGGUAUGAAAGGACACACGAGGUUGCUACUGUCUCUUGAGUAGCGUGUAAAAAUUAGGCUUUAGGUGAAGACACCUAAAUCAGUUUAAAAGACAAGAAGACCCCGUUGAGCUUUAGGAUUUAUCCGAUGUCAUUUCGUUCUGUGACGGCGUGGGCUUUGGUUGGGGCAACAGAGGUCCAUCUGAAGCGGCCCUUAUUUUUUUGGGUUGUCCGACCGGAGUAAAAGUGACUCAUAGUGGGAUGAUGGCCGUGUUUAUUAGCGCCCGUGGGGACUAGUAUUCGUUCAUUAUGUAGACGUAUUAAGCAACGAGAGGAAGAGCUACCACGGGGAUAACAGACUAAUCUAUUCGAAGAGUUCACAUUGAUGAAUGGGUUUGGCACCUCGAUGUUGGCUCAGGGUUUCCCGCAGGUGCAGGGGCCUGCAAGGGUAGGUUUGUUCACCCUCUAACACCCCU
rnacentral:rRNA from 1 species